UACGGAGGGUGCAAGCGUUAAUCGGAAUUACUGGGCGUAAAGCGUGCGCAGGCGGUUUUGUAAGUCUGUCGUGAAAUCCCCGGGCUCAACCUGGGAAUUGCGAUGGAGACUGCAAGGCUAGAAUCUGGCAGAGGGGGGUAGAAUUCCACGUGUAGCAGUGAAAUGCGUAGAUAUCAGGAGGAACACCGAUGGCGAAGGCAGGUCUCUGGGCUGACACUGACGCUCAUGCACGAAAGCGUGGGGAGCAAACAGG
rnacentral:rRNA from 1 species